UUUGAUCCUGGCUCAGGACGAACGCUGGCGGCGUGCCUAAUACAUGCAAGUCGAGCGGACAGAUGGGAGCUUGCUCCCUGAUGUCAGCGGCGGACGGGUGAGUAACACGUGGGUAACCUGCCUGUAAGACUGGGAUAACUCCGGGAAACCGGGGCUAAUACCGGAUGCUUGUUUGAACCGCAUGGUUCAAACAUAAAAGGUGGCUUCGGCUACCACUUACAGAUGGACCCGCGGCGCAUUAGCUAGUUGGUGAGGUAACGGCUCACCAAGGCAACGAUGCGUAGCCCACCUGAGAGGGUGAUCGGCCACACUGGGACUGAGACACGGCCCAGACUCCUACGGGAGGCAGCAGUAGGGAAUCUUCCGCAAUGGACGAAAGUCUGACGGAGCAACGCCCCGUGAGUGAUGAAAGUUUUCGGAUCGUAAAGCUCUGUUGUUAGGGAAAAACAAGUGCCCUUCGAAUAGGGCGGCACCUUGACGGUACCUAACCAGAAAGCCACGGCUAACUACGUGCCAGCAGCCCCGGUAAUACGUAGGUGGCAAGCGUUGUCCGGAAUUAUUGGGCGUAAAGGGCUCGCAGGCGGUUUCUUAAGUCUGAUGUGAAAGCCCCCGGCUCAACCGGGGAGGGUCAUUGGAAACUGGGGAACUUGAGUGCAGAAAAGGAGAGUGGAAUUCCACGUGUAGCGGUGAAAUGCGUAGAGAUGUGGAGGAACACCAGUGGCGAAAGCGACUCUCUGGUCUGUAACUGACGCUGAGGAGCGAAAGCGUGGGGAGCGAACAGGAUUAGAUACCCUGGUAGUCCACGCCCUAAACGAUGAGUGCUAAGUGUUAGGGGGUUUCCGCCCCUUAGUGCUGCAGCUAACGCAUUAAGCACUCCGCCUGGGGAGUACGGUCGCAAGACUGAAACUCAAAGGAAUUGACGGGGGCCCGCACAAGCGGUGGAGCAUGUGGUUUAAUUCGAAACAACGCGAAAAACCUUACCAGGUCUUGACAUCCUCUGACAAUCCUAGAGAUAGGACGUCCCCUUCGGGGGCAGAGUGACAGGUGGUGCAUGGUUGUCGUCAGCUCGUGUCGUGAGAUGUUGGGUUAAGUCCCGCAACGAGCGCAACCCUUGAUCUUAGUUGCCAGCAUUCAGUUGGGCACUCUAAGGUGACUGCCCGUGACAAACCGGAGGAAAGUGGGGAUGACGUCAAAUCAUCAUGCCCCUUAUGACCUGGGCUACACACGUGCUACAAUGGACAGAACAAAGGGCAGCGAAACCGCGAGGUUAAGCCAAUCCCACAAAUCUGUUCUCAGUUCGGAUCGCAGUCUGCAACUCGACUGCGUGAAACUGGAAUCGCUAGUAAUCGCGGAUCAGCAUGCCCCGGUGAAUACGUUCCCGGGCCUUGUACACACCGCCCGUCACACCACGAGAGUUUGUAACACCCGAAAUCGGUGAGGUAACCUUUAUGGAGCCAGCCCCCGAAGGUGGGACAGAUGAUUGGGG
rnacentral:rRNA from 1 species